GGAGAAUAUGUGAAAUGCUAGAGAGAGGAAGGCAGAAUAGAUGUUCAAGUUCCUGUCUGCAGAUUUCUACAGUUACUGUAUAGCUCAACAGCAAGUGGGGUAAAGGAUCAAACAGGACAAGCAUCAAAAGAUGCUGCACUGACAAAUACAAAUUAGUACUACAAAUUUUCACUUCCUCAAGGCUGAUGACAAAUAGCUGCUUGGAUAAGAUAUUCCAAGGCUAGAGAUCAAGUACCUAUGUGACCCAACUGACACAGG